AGCGAACGCUAGCGGCAGGCUUAACACAUGCAAGUCGAGCGCCAGGUUUCGGCCUGGAGCGGCGAACGGGCGAGUAACACGUAGGUCACGUACCCUAUGGUGGGGAAUACCCCGGGGAAACUCGGAUCAAUGCCCCAUAUGUCCGAAAGGAUGACAGCGCUUCGGCGCGCCAAAGGAUCGGCCUGCGGCCCAUUAUUUAAUCCUAGUUGGUGAGGUAACGGCUCACCAAGGGUACGAUGGGUAGCUGGUCUGAGAGGACGAUCAGCCACACUGGAACUGAGACACGGUCCAGACUCCUACGGGAGGCAGCAGUGGGGAAUAUUGGACAAUGGGCGAAAGCCUGAUCCAGCCAUGCCGCGUGAGUGAUGAAGGCCUUCGGGUUGUAAAGCUCUGUCGUGGGGGAAGAAGUUCUGACGGUACCCCACAAGAAAGCACCGGCUAACUCCGUGCCAGCCGCCGCGGUAA
rnacentral:rRNA from 1 species